CUCUUCGCAUUUUCUUUUUCCUACUACUUUUGGUCGGGAAAAUCCCGUUAAAAUCUUUCCCCUGUUGCCAUAAAAGACUUGAUCCUCAGAGGUCAAAUCCAUGGUUAAUCGGAUUGCCAUGCAGCAUUAACCCGAAUUUACAUGCGUCUUAUCACAUCAACAAAUGUGGGCUUCACGGUUAAUUUGAUUGUUACCUCAAUUCACGUUAGAUAUGAACAGGACCAUAUUUGACUGGAAAAAGGAACGGUUUGAUUCAAAGACUGAGGAUUAAAUUGAACGAGACUAAAGUUUAAGGAUGGAGUUUUACAUUAGCUAAAAGUUGUAAAGUGCAUGGAUUUUUUUUUUUUUUUACGUUGUUCUGUUGAAAUUUGAUGGAUUGAGUGCCCGCAAUUUGGAUCCAUUGACAACAUUGGCUGGGGGCUCUUCACUCUAUGGACCCCGCCCACGGAAACACACAGGCAACGACUCAUUACGCGUGCGUGUUUCAACGCGCGAAGAUGAUUGACUUCCACGGUUGACUUGUGACUUCUCUUCUGAGCCCACCCUCAAGCAUCAGCUCAUUCCUGUCUUUCUUUCCAUGGAGCUUUGGAGCUAAUCAAUGGUGCUUCGUUGAAUUGCAUUUAUUCAGUUGCAGGUCAUACAAACAUCUCAAGUAGGCGUGCCAUCCUCAUCCUGAGCUGUUUCUUGAGUAUUUGACCCGGCGUCUUCAAAAUCAGAUAUGGUUGAGGCGGCAGCUACGGCAGCGGCUGUUGAGGCAUACAGGGAUGGGAAAAGCUUAAUAGCUUAUGUUGGUCGCAAAAUCAAUUAUGCGGAUGAUCUUGAAAAGAAUUUUAGAAGGCUCACAGAGGAAGCAGAGAAACUCUUUGCUAGGAGGGAUGACGUGGAAGCUGAAGCAAACAAAGACAAGACAAAGAAAAAAACUAAAGAGUGUGAAGCCUGGAUUGGCAGGGUUAAGAAUGUUGAGAAUGAGGUUCAAGAACUAGAAAAUGAAUUUAGAAAAAGAAGAAAACGUUCAUGGAAACAGCGUCACAUUUUGUCAGCUCCCAAUUUCAGUAAACGUUUGGCUGAGAAGUGCGAGGAAUUGCAUAGUCUGUGGGCAGAAGGAGGACUUGAAACCGAAGCAGUUGUCGAGAGACCACCUGAGCCUGUCAGAUUAAUGCAUGCUCCGAAAACAGAAAACAAGCCAUCGAUCCACUGUGCUGUUGAAGAGAUCCUUGGUUACUUGAGGGACUGCAGUGUGAAAAGAAUUGGGCUCUGGGGGACAGUGGGAAUAGGGAAGACCACAAUCAUGCAUAAUUUGAAUGAUGAUGAAGAGAUCAGCAAAAUGUUUGACAUUGUAAUUUCAGCGUCAGUUUCCAAAGAAAGUAGCAUAGAGAAGUUGCAAAAGGCAAUUGCGCAGAGGCUUAAAUUGAAUACUGAAGGGAUCGGUGAUCCGCACGAAAUAUCGUGGAGAAUAUCAAAAGAAUUGGAGAACAAAAGAUACUUGCUUCUUCUGGAUGAAGUUUGGAGUGUUUUUGAUUUACAGGCAGUGGGAUUACAUGAUAACAACCAGGAUAGUAAGGUUGUGUUAGCAAGUAGAUACCAACAUGUUUGUUCGGAUAUGGAAGUUGAUGAGUUGGUCAAUGUGAAAAGGCUGUCUGAAGCAGAUGCAUGGAAAAUGUUCCGGGAGAAAGUGGGUAGGAAUAUUAAUCUGCCUGGUGUUGAACCACUUGGCCAUCUAGUGGUAACUGAAUGUGCUGGUUUACCACUUCUGAUUGACAGAGUUGCAAGAUAUUUCAGAAAGAAGGAUAACAUUAAUCUUUGGAGGGAUGGAUUAAGAAGCUUGCGAAAAUGGCCUAGUGUAAAAAUCCAAGGCAUGGACGAAGUUCUUGAAUUUUUGAAAUUCUGUUACGACAAGUUGGAUGAUGAAGGACAAAAGAUUUGUUUCCUAUAUGGCGCAUUGUUUCCGGAGGAUUCUGAUGUCUAUAUAGAUUAUUUAUUGGAGUGCUGGAGAGCAGAAGGCUUUCUGAGUGAUGCAGUUGAUUUUACCGAAGCUCGUGAUCGGGGCCAUGGCAUAUUGCAUGAACUCAUAGAUGUUUCCUUGCUCGAAAAAAGUGAAAAAGUAAAGCACGUUAGAAUGAACAAAGUGCUCCGGAACAUGGCACUCAAAAUUUCGUCAGAAGGCAAGAAUUCUAAAUUCUUGGUGAAAGCUUGUGAAGGGCUGAAAGAGGCCCCUAAUGAAGAAGAUUGGAAAAUGGCAAACCGCAUAUCUCUGAUGGAUAACCACCUGUGCACAUUACCAGGAACAGUAGAUUGCACUUCUCUCCUAACCCUGAUGCUGCAAAGAAAUUAUGAACUGGCAUUAAUUCCAGAUGCAUUUUUUGGAUCUAUGGAAAAGCUCCGAGUUCUAGAUUUGCAUGGCACUCGGAUCACAUCCUUGCCAUUAUCAAUGUUGUCCUUGACAGCUCUAAGAGCACUUUAUCUAAAUUCUUGCAGCUUUUUAACUGAACUUCCUAUUGACAUGAAGGCACUGGCACAUCUGGAGGUUCUUGAUAUCCGAGGCACUGGAAUUGACUAUUUGCCGGUUCAGAUUGGGGACUUGCUUAAUUUGAGAUGCUUGCGGAUUUCCUUAUCCAAUUCGUGUAUGAGACGGGUGAUCGAGGGACGGUCAAGAGUCAUGGACAUUGGUCACAAUGUCAUCUCAAGGCUUUCUUCGUUGGAAGAGCUUAGCAUCGAUGUGCAUCCUAAUAACCAAUGGUGGGAUGUGGUUGUAAAGGCUAUUACACAAGAAGUGGCCACCUUGACGCGCUUGACUUCUCUAUCAUUUUGUUUUCCUUCCGUCGAGUAUCUAAAAAUUUUUGUCACUAGCAGCUCACUCUUGAAGAAUAUCUGCUUCACCUUCCGAUUUUCCGUUGGUUACCAUGAGUCUACCAGAUAUCGAAUCCUCGAUCAUUUUGAGUAUGAAAUCUGCAGGUGUUUAAAAUAUGCAAAUGGGGUCGGUGUGGAUCAUGCAAUUUCUGCUGUACUUGCUGAAACUGAUGCAUUUGAACUUUUAUGCCACAAGGGAAUUUCAAGCAUAUCAGACUUUGGCAACGCCAAUAUCAACAAGGUGCGGGGUUGCCUGAUUGAAGGGUGCUCCGACAUUGAAGCCAUGGUUGAUGGCAACCAUUCCACAGCAGGUGCAUUGGAAUGCAUGGAGAAGAUAGUUAUAAACAAUGCCCCAAAAUUGACAUGCCUUUGGAAUGGUCCCGUGCAACCUGGAAGCCUAGCCCAACUAACUUCUCUAAGUAUAUAUAAAUGUCCAAAACUGACGAAAAUAUUCUCCGCUGGCAUGAUUCCACAACUUUCUAAGCUUCAAUAUUUGAGAGUUGAAGAGUGUCAUGAGAUUACAGAGAUCAUCAUGAAAGCUGAAAACAACAAUUUAGACCCUAGUGCACUUCCAGGUCUAAAGACUCUGAUACUUACUGAUCUGCCUAAGUUGAGAAGCAUUUGGAUUGAUAACUCAUUGGUGUGGCCGUCGUUAGAGGGCAUUACCAUACAUAUGUGCCAAUCACUAAAGAGAUUGCCCUUCGGGAACCAUAAUGCAGCCAAACUGAGACAUAUUGAAACUCAAAGAGUGUGGUGGAGGCGGCUGUCUUGGCAGGAAGAAGAAGUUGAACAAAGAUUACGACCUAUAUGCAUAUUCAGCUAGUAAUUGGCCCGUUUUAUGCUGAGAAAUUCUUCAUCAUCUGUUACUGGAAGGGUCUCAGAGAACCUGAGUUUGCCUUUGCUUACAUAUCUAUCCUUGAAGGAGCUUCUAAGAUGAUUGUGAGGCUUAGUUUGCUGAGAACUAAGGAAAAGAAAUGAACAUCUCCUUUCAGAAACUAAUGCAUUGGGACACAUUCCUGAGUCGAGCAUUAUAAGAGAGCAGCACAUACAUAGCUGAGACAAAACCAUCUAGCUAUUGAAGCAUUCAGAGUUUAGACUCGUGGGUAGACGAUUACCGAUUUUUUAGAUGUUGGUUGCUGCAGCAGAGACUCAAGAUUUACCUCUACUUGAUGCUUCUCUUUAUGAGUUCAGUUGGUCAAAUAAUCCAAAACCAAUACACGCCCUUUCUUUGAUACAGAAAGUCUUUGGCCACCCAUCACACCACAGAAAUUUUAUUUUUGGUUCUAAUAGUCAUGUCUAGGCCAAUUGAUGAAUAUCUCGACUAAUCCGCCUGUCCUAGCAGGUGAAAGGCUAGAAUAUAUGCAAUAAGAGUUUUCUACUGUAAUUUUAUUUUGACUGAUGUUGGAGACGAGAACAGACCAUGAGAUCAAUUUUUAAAUGAGGUUGAACUAUAUGCGAAUAUUAGUCUAAACGAA